rnacentral:rRNA from 1 species
AUUGAACGCUGGCGGCAGGCCUAACACAUGCAAGUCGAACGGUAGCACAGAGAGCUUACUCUCGGGUGACGAGUGGCGGACGGGUGGGUAAUGUCUGGGAAACUGCCCGAUGGAGGGGGAUAACUACUGGAAACGGCAGCUAAUACCGCAUAACGUCGCAAGACCAAAGUGGGGGACCUUCGGGCCUCACACCAUCGGAUGUGCCCAGAUGGGAUUAGCUAGUAGGUGGGAUAAUGGCUCACCUAGGCGACGAUCCCUAGCUGGUCUGAGAGGAUGACCAGCCACACUGGAACUGAGACACGGUCCAGACUCCUACGGGAGGCAGCAGUGGGGAAUAUUGCACAAUGGGCGCAAGCCUGAUGCAGCCAUGCCGCGUGUAUGAAGAAGGCCUUCGGGUUGUAAAGUACUUUCAGCGGGGAGGAAGGCGGUGAAGUUAAUAGCUUCACCGAUUGACGUUACCCGCAGAAGAAGCACCGGCUAACUCCGUGCCAGCCGCCGCAGUAA